AUUGAGAGCAAAAUAAAAGUUCAGCCAUUUUUUUCAAAGUUGGUGUGAAAGAUUUGUGAAUGAAGGUGUUCCUCGAAAAACAGGUUACAUAAGGUUGGAAUUGGGAGAUCCACUGAAGAUAUGAAAUUGAGCGAACCGUUGCUAGCCCAUGUGACAUUUUGUCUAAGGAUAUGAUAAAAAACUUCUGGUAGAGAAACUUCUUGAGGGACAGUAGCCUUGUACCUUAGAUUGAAACUCGACUGGUAACAGGAAGAUUAUAAUUGGUUUUAAGGGCCACUGAACUUCUGAGCAGAAUUUGAACUCCUCACCAUUACAAACUGCCAUAUCAGUGUUGUCAACAUAACCACUUGAACUCAUCAGCUCUUAAUCAAGUUUUUAUGCAAGGCCAAAAACUGGAUAUCUGCUACUGGUUAAAGUUUCUCAUAAUGUUGUAAUUGUUCCAAGUGGUUAACAAUAUCCAAAAGACCUUUGGUGCUAAACCUAAAACUUAAUUAUUGAUUUUGACAACACCCAAAUUUCACUCUUAUGUGUAGAAGUCAAAGAAACAAGGUUUGUACCUUGUGCUUGUAUUUGCAGUGGGAAAUUCUUAACACAAAAGUCAGGGCAUUUGGUUGAUGUGGGAGAUCUAGACUUCAUCUCAUUCAUUCACUAGGUUAGUCUGUUUCUUUGAAAACCUUUGAGAGAGCAAGAACUAUAUGGAAGUACAGUGGUACCUCGUUUGUCGAACGUUUCAUAUGUCGAACUUUCCGUUUUCCGAGCAAAAUUUUCGAGAAAAUUUGUAUCGUUUGCCGAACAAAUGCUCGUACUUCGAACUGACUGAUUAUCUAGUUUCUACUCGUAUUCGACGGCCUACUGGGUCUUACAAGUUAAACUGUAUUAAUUUAUUUUUUCAAUUACAAUAUAUAGUUUAAUGAUAGCAAUAUUCGACAAAAUACAUUAAAGUAUAAGGCAUUUAAUAUAAAAUUUAGCUUUCAAUAUAACAUUUAGCAUAAAAGAUGUAUAAAAUCGUACGUAACCGCGGUGACGUCACGCCCAGCUGACUUGAGACUGAACGAGGGAACGUUGAUAUGUUGAGGAGAGAAGGAGAAGAGAGAGUUAAAAUAUUACUGUAUGUAUCUAAAAGCAAUAACAAAU